rnacentral:rRNA from 1 species
GCUGGGGACGUCUAAUAGAAACUGCCUACGCAAGUAGUGAGGAAGGUGGGGAUGACGUCAAAUCAGCACGGCCCUUACGUCCAGGGCUACACACGUGCUACAAUGGCCGAUACAGAGGGCAGCUACCUGGUGACAGGAUGCAAAUCUCCAAAGUCGGUCUCAGUUCGGAUCGGAGUCUGCAACCCGACUCCGUGAAGUUGGAUUCGCUAGUAAUCGCGCAUCAGCCAUGGCGCGGUGAAUACGUUCCCGGGCCUU